rnacentral:piRNA from 1 species
UUAAAAAAGCACUAAAAUAAA